CUCGUGCGCGGUUGCCAGGGGUUACAGCCUGACAUUUCAGUCGCUAUAAACAAACCUGCAGGAAGCCAAACUGUGAAGAACACCGUGUUUUCUGUGGUUUUAUUCAAUUUAGGAAUCAACUCCUCGCUUUACAGCGAUCAUAAUUAGUGUAAAAGGUCAGAAAGACUUUUCGGCUUUAUGAUGGCGGAUUCAGAUUUAGGUACAGCAGAAAAAGCAGACAGCUCUGCAGACCCUUAUGAAAGGACAGUGAAGUACCUGGAGAGCCAUAACAUUCUGCAGAUAUUCCAGGAAAUCACAGAGAGCCUGGUUUAUGACAGACCUGAUGACCCCCUGCAGUUUAUGUUAGAGCAGUUGCAGAAGAAGAUCCGAGUGCGUGAGGGGUCAAGCGAAGCUGCAAAAGCUGAAUAGUUUGCUCAGAAAUGGGACUGUGCAGCAUACAAUGAAAAGUAUGUUAGCCACAUAUUUGCAUACUGGCAUUAUUUUUCCUCAGAUGCAGUCAUAAUUGCAGCUCCUAUUGUAAAAAAAAAAAAAAAACAGAUUUAUUUCCUAUUUUGCUUUGACAAUCCUGUUUGGUUUCUUUUAUGAGAUAUUAUUUGUAUUCGCAUCAAAGAGACUUGUUCCAACAGACACGGCUUCAAAGCAACCAUCGUUUGGAAACUCAGUGAGCAGGGCGAAGAGAAUUUCCUGAGGGGGGAAAACAUGCUAAAAAAAAACCACAUGUUUUUGUGCUUUAUAAGAGCAAGAUCGGUAAAUUGGUAAAGUCCUCCAGGUGAUGAGGAAAAAUCGAUCCAUCCUAAGAGUAUGAUGAAAGUAGAUUUGUACUAAGAAACUGGCUUUAGGUUUGCAGUGAAAACAAACACUGGCUCACACGCUGUAUUCAGAUUUGCAUGAGGGUAUUUUGGCUGUAGGAGUAAAGGAAGUCUUUGUUUAUAGUAGGUUUACCUUUCAGUGUAUCGCUCUGGUCAUCAUCCUGCGCUUUGAAGCUGCAUCUGCUGUUUCAGCUGCGCCACAUAAAGCCCUGUUAAGUACAUCCUUUCUCUGUGAUUUAAGGGGAGCCAGAAGCGCAGGGCUGAAAAACAAGAAACGUCUCUCCAUCCUGGUGGAUUAAGCACGAAUGAGAAUUGGAUUUCAGUGCGUAAGGUUAGAACAGACCGUUUUCUUUCUUUUCUUUUUUUUUUUUUACUCAGAAUAAGCGCAUCUGACAGCGUGCUGUUACUCAGGAACAUCAAUGAAUCUUAAUAAAGCCUGACAGUCAUCCUUCAUCAAUCAGGUUAUAGGAAUUGGUUAUAGGAUCUUCAUAACGAUCUUAUCAAAGCUGAUAAGUGGAUGAACGGAAUCGUGAAAUUAAUAUGCAUUAGUGUUUUACAUUUCUUCGAUUUGUAAGUUUGCUUCUACACAGGCAUGUGCUGAUCAUCAGGAGUAUAGUAAGUAAGGAAUAAAACAUCAUCAUCAUCCAUGUCAUGGUGUUACAGGAAAAUAAUCAGUGAUGAAGUUACUGUCAGCACCCCGACGUUGAUUGUUGCCCUUUAACAGCACGUCCUGAAAUGUUUUAUUCCUCUGAUACCACAAUACUAACAGUUUUCCAACAAUUACAGUUUUUUUUUUGCUGAUGAAAGAACGACAUAUCAUACUUUUUAUCCAUUUGUAGUUACACAUAAUGUUGUGAAACAAAUUAGUUCCUGUUAUCACUUAGCAGCUAUAAACAGUCAUUCCCUCACCAGCCUCUCUCUCUCUCUCUCUCUCUUUUUUUAAAUUAAUGAGACAAAAAAACAAAAUUCAGCUUGUCAUGUUGCAGAGAACCCGCAAAGUGUAAACUCCUCUAUCCUGAAGAUGUCAGAAAACAUAAAGUUACAGCUUUACCUCUGAGCGCUGACACUGGAGACUCAUUCCAUAACUGUUAAACGAAGCUUUCCUUACGGAAAACGUCACCAUAUCAACAAUUACACACCUUUUUUUUAAUCGAUUUACCUGAAGCGACUGCUGUACAACCCGUCCCUGCGAACGAGCUGUUACUACAGAAACAAAAAGUUAUUAGAACGAGGGCAUUAAUAUAAACCUGAGAUUUGCAGCUGCACUACUGUCAGAGCUGCUGUUCUGGGAAAUUAAUCAACUCAGAUCAAUCCCAGUAGAAUUCAGCAGUGCUGUGGGAUAUACUGAGUUAUUUAACACGAACAAUAUUGUUAUAAUAAAAAACACCAUCACUACAAUUGCAGUCCAUUGACAAAAAUAAAGCCUCUCCAUUGUCUCCCAUAGCGACAGUUACUUUCUAAAGUUUGUAAUUUUCACAACAUAAUUCACAACAGGUACGUUUUUAAACCUCACAUGAAAGCAUAUUUGUUUUCUAUGGCUUUUAAUUGUUGAUUUUUGGAAGAUGUAAAUUGUUUUAAUUUUUUCUUCAAGGUUAUUUUCAUUUUUCUGUUUUGUUGAUUUUUGUUUUAGUAUCCUUGUAUUUUUGUGCUGCUGUACAGUCCUUUGGUCUACUUUGUAGUGGAAAAGGCUCUAUAAAUAAAGUAGACUUGAGACUUUAAAUACAGUACAGUAAUAAUAUCGUAAAGCAGGAUAGAAGUUAACUUUAAUAUCGACAUAUGCCUACAUGUAGAACACCAUUUCACUCUGUUUAUCUGCACUUUCAAGUCAUAAUAGAUG